rnacentral:rRNA from 1 species
CGCAUGAGUGGCGGACGGGUGAGUAACGCGUGGGCAACCUGCCCUGUACAGGGGGACAACACUUAGAAAUAGGUGCUAAUACCGCAUAACGGGGGGAGCCGCAUGGCACCCCCCUGAAAACUCCGGUGGUACAGGAUGGGCCCGCGUCUGAUUAGCUUGUUGGCGGGGUAACAGCCCACCAAGGCGACGAUCAGUAGCCGGCCUGAGAGGGUGAACGGCCACAUUGGGACUGAGACACGGCCCAAACUCCUACGGAAGGCAGCAG